rnacentral:lncRNA from 1 species
GCACUAAGAGCCUGAGAGAAAAGGACACUGCAUAUAUCACAGAGAGAUGCAUAGGUGUUACACUCAGAAAGAGAGUGAACAACUAGAAGAUGUGGAAGACCCAGUUUGGCUCUGGAGUCAAGAAUUCUCAAAACAGCUUUCUGAACUCUGAAUCGCAGUAAAGCUGGUGUUCUCCUGAAGCCAACACUUACGGUAUCACCUUGCUGAUCCAGGCAAAAUGGCAAAAGUGUAGUGAACAUAAAGCCAGGGGCUGAGAUUGUGGACGUCCUCUGUACCAAGUUUCUUAUUAUGGCAAGGGUAGAAGUUCACCAGGCUUAGAAUAUAAACUGACACCUUGAAGAAGUGACCAUCUUGUAAUCAACACUUUAUUCUAAGGAUAACAGAGAUAAAUCAUAUAAGGAUCUCUGUUUCUUAAUGGCAUUGUUGAGCCCUAAACAUUCUACUGCUAGAUAUUUUAUUGCAUGAAAUAAAUAAACCUUAGUUGCUUAAAAUA